GACGAACGCUGGCGGCGUGCCUAACACAUGCAAGUCGAACGGGGUAAGAAGCUUCGGUUUCUUACUUAGUGGCGAACGGGUGAGUAACGCGUGAGAAACCUGCCUUUCAGUGGGGGACAACAGUUGGAAACGACUGCUAAUACCGCAUAAUGUUAUUUGGGGGCAUCCCUAAAUAACCAAAGAUUUAUUGCUGAAAGAUGGUCUCGCGUCUGAUUAGCUAGAUGGCGGGGUAACGGCCCACCAUGGCGACGAUCAGUAGCCGGUCUGAGAGGAUGAACGGCCACAUUGGGACUGAGAUACGGCCCAGACUCCUACGGGAGGCAGCAGUGGGGAAUAUUGGGCAAUGGGGGAAACCCUGACCCAGCAACGCCGCGUGAAGGAAGAAGGCCUUCGGGUUGUAAACUUCUUUUACCAGGGACGAACAAAUGACGGUACCUGGAGAAAAAGCAACGGCUAACUACGUGCCAGCAGCCGCCGUAAAAC
rnacentral:rRNA from 1 species